GGAGAGAUGGCUCAGUGGUUAAGAGCACUGACUGGCAGCUCUUCUGAAGGUCCUGAGUUCAAGUCUCAGCAACCACA
rnacentral:tRNA from 1 species